UUGGCAACACCAAAGCGGCAGCAGACUAGAAACCAGAAAAAUUUUAAAAUUUUUAAGGAGCGGAAAGAAAAGUAUUGAAAUAAUAUUUUUAAAAUGGAGAUGUUGUUCGGAUUAGAACCACCCUCCAAAGAGGCAGCCUGGAUUCUUCGGAUUCGUGAAAAGUUGCUACACGGAUUCUUUCAAAUGGGACAUCAUCAAGAGCUGGUCCAUGUUUGCCUUUGGAGUCUACAUUUCCCAGGAAAUCUGUGCCAUCGAUCUCACCUCUGCGCCCCCAGUGGCAUAGUGGAGAACUAAAUGGACUUCGCCGCAAGAGAUGUGUCGACAAAAUGAGACGAAGAAAUGGUAGUUGCUGCAAAUUGUAAAUAGUUUCGAGUUUUGUUUCUUCAAUGUAUAUUGCAUUCAUUCGAGCUCUCAAUAAAAAAUGACCAUGAAAGUUUA